rnacentral:lncRNA from 1 species
CCUGUGUUGUGCUCCACGUAGCGUUUUCAGACGCAUGUUUUCAUUUAUAUCUUUGACUUGUAUGUUUAUUUUAUUUAGAUGGAGUUUUUGUUUAAUUUAUUAACGCGUUUUAUUUGAUUUUGCUACGCAUCUGCAGUGAUUUAAUCAUGACUCGUGACUAAACAAACAGCGGCUCGGCUUUAUUUAGGUCUGUCAGGAUUAAGCAGUAAAUCAAUGGUCUUGUGACAACAUUUAGCAUGUCUUGCUACCAACUACACCUCAUCUCUCUCUGAGAGUUCAGCGUCUUGGGCAGAGGCGUCCAGAUCGCCCUGCUCAGCCCCGGUCAGGAUGUCCAUGGGGGCUUCGGCGAUCUCUCUGAUGGUUUGGUCUUCUAAUGCGAGCGCUGUGUCAAAGAGCAAGGGGGACGGCGGACACUGCAAACCCUCAUCUUCAACAUCAAGAUCCUGCACGCCAAGAAAUUUGAAUAAUUAUCCACUCAUGAUUAAUACUACAUUUUGAUUCUGUUCAUUGUUUUAUGUUGUGAUUUUAAACGACGUUUGGCCAUUACUACUGGUUACAGAGUGCUGCAAUGGUGACGUCAACAUCAGGAAGACUAAUUUGAUUUACAUUUCUGAUUAUUAAAAAAUUCUAAUGUAA